CUUGCUUUUUCUGAUCUCAAAUUUAGGACUAAAUCCGAUUAGAUGAGAUAAGCGUAUUGCUUAUAAUUUAAUAUGCACCUCAAUUACAUAAACUAAGCUUAUCUUAUCAAAUAGAAUCUAGCACUGAAUGCCUGUAGCAUGCUUUGUUUGCAAUGUGAUGUAGAAACUGAACUGUCUCUCUCCCCUAGACCCAACCUCCAUUGGACUCUCUCUCUCUCGCUGUGCUGCGCCCUCCUCCGCCUCCUGGGUACCACCAUGGAAGUGUAUAUACCAGCUUAAAUGUCUAUGCAAAAAAGUGAAAGUGACAGUACUUCUUUACCUGUUUAAGGACCAAUGAUAUGGCUUGCAUGCAAUAAUACAAC